rnacentral:rRNA from 1 species
AGUGAACGCUGGCGGUAGGCCUAACACAUGCGAGUCGAACGGCAGCACAGUAAGAGCUUGCUCUUACGGGUGGCGAGUGGCGGACGGGUGAGGAAUACAUCGGAAUCUACUUUUUCGUGGGGGAUAACGUAGGGAAACUUACGCUAAUACCGCAUACGACCUACGGGUGAAAGCAGGGGAUCUUCGGACCUUGCGCGAUUGAAUGAGCCGAUGUCGGAUUAGCUAGUUGGCGGGGUAAAGGCCCACCAAGGCGACGAUCCGUAGCUGGUCUGAGAGGAUGAUCCGCCACACUGGAACUGAGACACGGUCCAGACUCCUACGGGAGGCAGCAGUGGGGAAUAUUGGACAAUGGGCGCAAGCCUGGUCCAGCCAUACCGCGUGGGUGAAGAAGGCCUUCGGGUUGUAAAGCCCUUUUGUUGGGAAAGAAAAGCAGCAGGUUAAUACCCCGCUGUUCUGACGGUACCCAAAGAAUAAGCACCGGCUAACUUCGUG